AUACCUACUUCUUAGUGUCUCACACUUUUUAAUUGCUGUAACAGAUGGAUCGUGACUUAGAUUACGCGAUUAAACAUUUAGCAAGGAAUGGUGUUCUGAUUGACUUCCAUGAUAUGAAGCCGAUUGAGGACCGGCUGAUUGUGACUGAUUUGGGGAAGAAAAAAUACGUCGCUACUCCCGAG